GCGUUUCUCUGGUUACGGAUCACCAGCCAUUGCUUUCCAUUUUCAGUCCAAAGAAAGGCAUUCUGGGAAUGCCAGCAGCCAGGUUACAACGAUACGCCUUGUUCCUCCCAGUCAUAUGAAUGACAGCAGCCAGGUUACAGCGAUAUGCCUUGUUCCUCCCAGUCAUAUGAAUGACAGCAGCCAGGUUACAACGAUAUGCCUUGUUCUUCCCAGUCAUAUGAAUGACAGCAGCCAGGUUACAACGAUAUGCCUUGUUCCUCCCAGUCAUAUGAAUGACAGCAGCCAGGUUACAGCGAUAUGCCUUGUUCCUCCCAGUCAUAUGAAUGACAUUGAGUUGAAGCCGUCGUCCCUCCACACAAAUGCAGAUGGAUUAUCCAGACUGCCGUGUACAAGAGAAAGACAAAGGAGUGUGGAUGCAGUGGACAUUUUCCAUACCGCUCAGCUCGAGGCACUACCGGUCACAAGCACAGUUAUCAAACAGGAGACAAGGAAAGAUGUGACCUUGUCAAAAGGGUUCACCUACACCAUGUCAGGAUGGCCAGCUACAGGCAGAGAGGAGCUGACUCCGUAUUUCCAGCGGAGAAACGUAAUUACAACGUACCAAGGAUGUUUGAUGUGGGGAAUGAGAGUCAUGAUACCCCAGAAAUGCCAACAUCAGCUUUUGCAGCAACUACAAGAAGGUCAUGUUGGAAUUUGAAAUUGUCAAUUUCUUGUAUUCAGAGUCUUUCUUAUUAUAUAAAUAAUAAGAGCUAAAACACUACAUAUGGGAUAUAAGAAACAAAAGCUGUGUGUCGCGUCGUCAUUUAUAUUAUAACAAUAAUUCAACAUAGUAAGUUUGUAUGACGAUCUGGUUAUUAAAUGGGAAACCAGUUUAAAGACAGUUAAAUAGUAGCGUGCUUUAAACCGCUUUGGUGACGAACGUUGCUGCCCUGUUUCCAAUCGUCCACAUUGAUGCUGUAUGAACCUAUUCAAGUAAGUAAAUACACUUUGGGGAAAAGACUAUACCCGUGUUCGAAUACCCAUAACAUACUGUAUACUACAUAUUAAAUGAGUGUAUAUACUAUUAGUUAAUUUUAGGAAACUAAACGAACGGUAUCCUUCCAAUUCGUUAGUUGAUGCUGUUACUAUGCAACUUAUUGCUAGCUUGUUAGUAAAAACAAAUAAGACCUCUUACAACUUCAUUAACAAUGUCCAUUAAGAACGCUCAACGACUAACGGAAUUAAAUAUCACCAGUUACCUAACUUCAUAAUGGCUAUCAUGAUGUAAUUGUAAAACAAACUCCAAAUGCAUUUGUAGGUAGCUAGCUAACAGCCAUGGAAGAGAGUGAAAGGAUAGCUGCUCCAACUGUUAAAGAAGGUAGAGUAGGCUAUUCUGGUUGGGCAGGUACUGUUGUGUAGUUCCACUCCAUAGUAAGAAGUGAGGACGGAGAUAAUAGUAACAUAAUAUUCAGUGCGGUCUAAUUUUAGUAUAAUGAAGUCUGUUUUCUGUCCUCAGAUACAGAGCUGUAAAACAUUGUCUGCAGAUGAAGAGCAAUGGUUCCCAGUCCUGUUCCUGGGAUGCCUUGCAACUUGAGAUUUCUUCAAAACGAUUGCCUACAGUCACUGUGUAGGGCACUGCACAGUUGGGUGACCAGGGCCACCUGGUCUCGUGGGGGAUUUCAGGCAUCUGUGAAGGCUACCUGUGUCCUGCAUAACUUCAUGAUGAUGAACAGGAGGGGACCUGCAGCUCUCCACCAUGUGCCAGAGGAGAGGUCUGCUGCUCACCACCAUGUGCCAGAGGAGAGGUCUGCUGCUCACCACCAUGUGCCAGAGGAGAGGUCUGCUGCUCUCCACCAUGUGCCAGAGGAGAGGUCUGCUGCUCACCACCAUGUGCCAGAGGAGAGGUCUGCUGCUCACCACCAUGUGCCAGAGGAGAGGUCUGCUGCUCACCACCAUGUGCCAGAGGAGAGGUCUGCUGCUCACCACCAUGUGCCAGAGGAGAGGACUGCUGCUCUCCACCAUGUGCCAGAGGAGAGGUCUACUGCUCUGCAGGAUAUUGCCAGGAUGGGGGCCAACAACGCAGCACAGGAGGCAAUCUGUGCAGGAGACCUUCACCUCCUACUUCUUCAAAGAGGAUGCUGUUCCCUGGCAACACCAGACUACACUAUGCACAACCAAAGGCUCUUUUAAGAGCCAUCCACAUUGCAAUAAGUGUAUUCUUCCAUUUACUUAGCUAUGUCAACUGCAGUUAUUCAAUAAGUCUCUGACUUAUUUUCUCUAAGUCUCCUUCACUCCAUCCCUUUCUCCCAUAAUCCUCUAGGUCAGUGGUUCCCAAACUUUUUAUAGUCCUGUACCCCUUCAAACAUUCAACCUCCAGCUGUACCCCCUCUAGCACCAGGGUCAGCACACUCUCAAAUGUUGUUUUUUGCCAUCAUUGUAAGCCUGCCACACACACACUAUAUGAUACAUUUCUUAAACAUAAGAAUGAGUGUGAGUUUGUCACAACCUGGCUCAUGGGAAUUGACAAAGAGCUCUUAUAGGACAAGGGCACAAAAUAAUAUAAUAAAUUCAAUAAAUUUGCUAUUUAUUUAACCAUCUUACAUAUAAAACGUGUUUUUGAAAUGUGAAUCACAUUUUUGUUUGGGAAUACCUGCUGUAGGUUAUAUCAGCUGUGUCGGUGAACCCCUCCCGCAUCUUAACUGGCUACAUAGAGGGUACAGCAUGAUCAGAGGUGAGAGGUCACUUGGUUGGGUCUAUAGGAAGUAUUAUUAAAGAGAUGCUUUACAUUGAAAUACA